rnacentral:rRNA from 1 species
CGGACGGGUGAGUAAUGCUUAGGAAUCUGCCCAAUAGUGGGGGGACAACUCGAGGAAACUCGAGCUAAUACCGCAUACGCCCUACGGGGGAAAGCAGGGGAUCUUCGGACCUUGCGCUAUUGGAUGAGCCUAAGUCGGAUUAGCUUGUUGGUGAGGUAAAGGCUCACCAAGGCGACGAUCCGUAGCUGGUCUGAGAGGACGAUCAGCCACACUGGGACUGAGACACGGCCCAG